rnacentral:rRNA from 1 species
CGGGUACAGGAUAGGGUUCGAUACUGGAGAAGGAGCCUGAGAACGGCUACUACAUCUACCGAGGCAGCAGGCGCGUAAAUUACCCAAUCCUGAUUAGGGAGGUGGUGACAAGAUAUAACAACGCAAUUUCAUUGUGAUUGUAGUGAGGGUAUUCCAUACCGAACCACUAGUACGAUUAGAGGGCAAGUCUGGUGCCAGCAGCCGCGGUAAUUCCAGCUCUAAUAGCGUAUAUUAAAGUUGCUGCAGUUAAAAGCUCGUAGUUGGAUUUCAAGGACAGCUUUACCUCUUUGAGGUAGGCUCCCUACUAGUCUUUCGACUGCACUGUGAGAAAAUUAGAGUGUUUAAAGCAGGCUCUUGCAAGAAUACAUUAGCAUGGAAUACGAAUGUGUUUAGAAUCUUGGUUAAUUCUAUUACGAUUAAUAGAGA